rnacentral:SRP_RNA from 1 species
GCUGGGCGUGGUGGUGGGCACCUGUAGUCCCAGCUACUCGGGAGGCUGAGGCAGGAGAAUCGGUUGAACCCGGGAGGCGGAGCUUGCAGUGAGCUGAGAUCCAGCCACUGCACUCCAGCCUGGGCGACAGAGCGAGACUCCGUCUCCAAAAAAAAAAAAAAGAGAGAGAAAAAAGAAAUGGAGUCUCGCUCUGUCGCCCAGGCUGGAGUGCAGUGGUGCGAUCUCGGCUCACUGCAAGCUCCGCCUCCCGGGUUCAACCGAUUCUCCUGUCUC